rnacentral:rRNA from 1 species
AUUGAACGCUGGCGGCAGGCCUAACACAUGCAAGUCGAACGAGUGGCGGACGGGUGAGUAAUGUCUGGGAAACUGCCAGAUGGAGGGGGAUAACUACUGGAAACGGUAGCUAAUACCGCAUACAAUCGGAUGUGCCCAGAUGGGAUUAGCGAGUAGGUGGGGUAACGGCUCACCUAGGCGACGAUCCAUAGAUGGUCUGAGAGGAUGACCAGCCACACUGGACCUGAGACCCGGGCCAGACUCCUACGGGAGGAAGCAUUGGGGAAUAUUGCACAAUGGGCGCAAGCCUGAUGCAGCCAUGCCGCGUGUAUGAAGAGGGCCUUCGGGUUGUAAAGUACUUUCAGCGAGGAGGCGUUACUCGCAGAAGAAGCACCGUCUAACUCCGUGCCAGCAGCCGCGGUAAUUC